GACCCGGUAGCUCAGGUGGUAGAGCAACUGACUUUUAAUCAGUGGGUCAGGAGUUCGAUUCUCCUCCGGGUCACCA
rnacentral:tRNA from 1 species